rnacentral:rRNA from 1 species
CCUACGGGAGGCAGCAGUAAGGAAUAUUGGUCAAUGGACGCAAGUCUGAACCAGCCAUGCCGCGUGAAGGAUGAAUGCCCUCUGGGUUGUAAACUUCUUUUAUAGGGGACGAAAAAGGGUCUUUUUAGAUCAACUGACGGUACCCUAGGAAUAAGCACCGGCUAACUCCGUGCCAGCAGCCGCGGUAAUACGGAGGGUGCAAGCGUUAUCCGGAUUUACUGGGUUUAAAGGGUGCGUAGGUGGGUUGGUAAGUCAGCGGUGAAAUCUUCGAGCUUAACUCGGAAACUGCCAUUGAUACUAUCAGCCUUGAAUAUCCUGGAGGUGAGCGGAAUAUGUCAUGUAGCGGUGAAAUGCUUAGAUAUGACAUAGAACACCAAUUGCGAAGGCAGCUCACUACGGGAUUAUUGACACUGAGGCACGAAAGCGUGGGGAUCAAACAGGAUUAGAUACCCUGGUAGUCCACGCCCUAAACGAUGGAUACUCGACAUUUGCGAUAUACAGUAAGUGUCUNAGCGAAAGCAUUAAGUAUCCCACCUGGGAAGUACGAAUCGCAAGGUUGAGACUUAAAGGAAAUUGACGGCUGAGACNGCGAGACGACACGAGGAGGAGGAG